AUGGAUUCCAUCAUGGCUAACGGGACAUGGGAGAUCACUGACCGUCCCUAUGGUUGCAAACCACUGGGAUGUAAGUGGGUGUUCAAAAAGAAGCUUAGGCCCGAUGGUUUCGUUGUUAAUGAGGCUGACAAAUGUGUAUACUAUCGCCAUGGUGGGGGCGAAGGAGUUAUACUGUGCUUGUAUGUUGAUGACAUACUGAUAUUCGGAACAAACCUCAAAGUCAUUGAGGAGGUCAAAUCGUUUCUAUCUCAGAACUUUGAGAUGAAAGACCUUGGUGUGGCUGAUGUUAUCUUGAACAUCAAGCUACUGAGAGAUAAUGAGGGUGGGAUCACACUUCUGCAAUCCCAUUACGUUGAGAAGGUGUUGAGUCGUUUUGGUUAUUCGGACUGUACUAUGAACUAUGGACUUCACUAUACCGGAUACCCGUCGGUACUUGAAGGGUAUAGUGAUGCGAAUUGGAUCUCUGAUGCUGAUGAGAUGAAGGCUACAACUGGGUAUAUGUUUACUCUUGGAGGUGGCGCUGUUUCCUGGAAGUCUUGCAAGCAAACGAUCUUAACGAGAUCGACAAUGGAAGCAGAAUUAACGGCAUUAGACACAUCUGGUGUUGAAGCGAGAUGGCUUCGAGAUCUUUUGAUGGACUUGCCAUUGGUUGAUAAACCGGUUCCGGCUAUCCUUAUGAACUGUGACAAUCAGACUGUCAUCACCAAGGUGAAGAGUUCAAAGGACAACAUGAAG
rnacentral:rRNA from 1 species